ACGUAUGGUGCGAGCGUUGUCCGGAAUUAUUGGGCGUAAAGGGUACGUAGGCGGUUUAAUAAGUCAAAUGUUAAAGCGUGAGGCUCAACCUCAUAAAGCAUAUGAAACUAUUAAACUUGAGUAGUGGAGAGGAAAGUGGAAUUCCUAGUGUAGCGGUGAAAUGCGUAGAUAUUAGGAGGAAUACCAGUUGCGAAGGCGACUUUCUGGACACAAACUGACGCUGAGGUACGAAAGCGUGGGGAGCAAACAG
rnacentral:rRNA from 1 species